UACGUAGGGUGCAAGCGUUGUCCGGAAUUAUUGGGCGUAAAGAGCUCGUAGGCGGUUUGUCGCGUCUGCCGUGAAAGUCCGGGGCUCAACUCCCGGAUCUGCGGUGGGUACGGGCAGACUAGAGUGAUGUAGGGGAGACUGGAAUUCCUGGUGUAGCGGUGAAAUGCGCAGAUAUCAGGAGGAACACCGAUGGCGAAGGCAGGUCUCUGGGCGAUUAACUGACGCUGAGGAGCGAAAGCAUGGGG
rnacentral:rRNA from 1 species